AAGCGGUGGAGCAUUGUGGUUUAAUUCGAUGCAACGCGAAGAACCUUACCUACUCUUGACAUCCAGAGAACUUUCCAGAGAUGGAUUGGUGCCUUCGGGAACUCUGAGACAGGUGCUGCAUGGCUGUCGUCAGCUCGUGUUGUGAAAUGUUGGGUUAAGUCCCGCAACGAGCGCAACCCUUAUCCUUUGUUGCCAGCGGUUAGGCCGGGAGCUCAAAGGAGACUGCCAGUGAUAAACUGGAGGAAGGUGGGGAUGACGUCAAGUCAUCAUGGCCCUUACGAGUAGGGCUACACACGUGCUACAAUGGCAUAUACAAAGAGAAGCGACCUCGCGAGAGCAAGCGGACCUCAUAAAGUAUGUCGUAGUCCGGAUUGGAGCCUGCAACUCGACUCCAUGAAGUCGGAAUCGCUAGUAAUCGUGGAUCAGAAUGCCACGGUGAAUACGUUCCCGGGCCUU
rnacentral:rRNA from 1 species